rnacentral:lncRNA from 1 species
AACAUCAACUAACCUUUUCCCCUUUACCUUUUCUUUGACAGUCCCCCAUUUCAAUAGAAGCAAUAGUGCAACAGAUGGAGCUUAAAAAAUAUAUAAAGUCUUGCAAUGUCUAGCCAUUAAAUCACCACUUGGAAAUAAUAUAUAAAUGAUUUGACUAAAAUUUAUGCUACCAAUGCCAGAAAUGAAACGGAGCUUCUAUUAAUUAAAAUCAAAAAAUGAACAUUGCAAUCUAUCCACAACAAACUUAAUUA